rnacentral:lncRNA from 1 species
CCAUCUUGAUUUGUUUCUGUCCUCUCCAUCAUAUAAUAUAAGAAGCCCAUUUGGGGGUAUCGCUCACUAUCCUCGAUCCAAAGCACUUCAUAUAGAGGCUUGAUAGCCGCCACUAUCUUCUCGGCCCGCUGUCAGAAUAACUGUCUCGUCACUAAGCUCUCCACAUUGCCUCUCAGUGUUGUUCGGGCAUAUCUACUUUGUUGCCAUCCAUGACUGACAAACAUCUGACAUAAAUAUACUUUCUUUUCAAUCAGACUAUUAAGUGUUAUAUAAUUAGUAGCAAAUCGAGUGACACCUAGUCUCAAUAUAUCACCCCUAGCAAACUACCGUAUCAAUGAUAGACUCAUGUAUGGUUGUAGAUGAAUCUAAUGAUGCUCCGUGCUGACUCCACUACCUUCUACAUCCUACGAAUCUUUUCAAUAUCUAUCAAUAUCAGUUCGAUACAAUGUGCAGCACAUGGGAUCCAGAAAAUAUGCUGUCGCUGCUCCAUCAAUAUCUCCCCUAUAGUCUUAUACUAUGGGCCGUUAUCUGUAAUAACCUGCAUGACAUUCUGCUCUCCUAUCUGAUCAAUCACCUCCAUCAAUUUGAGGAUGUAGCUGGCAUCGUGUACCUCAACGAAGUAUCAACAGACUUGUGAAAGAAUGUUCUUCCAUCACAAUAUGUCAAGAAGUUGAUGAUGCUUCGUCUAGUAGGACCAGUCCAACUAUCACACAUCACAAUCAACCUAUAUACCAGCCACUUGCUCUGAUACGAGGCAAUCCAUUUUUCAAGAUCCUUUUUAUUCUGGUCAAGAAGCUCACCAUGGAUAUCCUUUGGUCUUGGAGGAUCUACACCUGAAUCGGCAUCUUGUAUAGAUGAAAUAGCAAAGCGAUAAUAUGGGUUGUCUGCUGCAUUUGCUGGGAUGUGACUAAAGUGAAAUCAAGAUUCAAUAGUUCAUCAUAUAUCCUUCUUCUUAUCUUUCUUCAAUAUAGUGUCAAUCCUCUGUUGCUUGAAAUCUCUACUAGAAAAUACAUAUGGAUCCAAGUGGUGGAUAGUGGCUCUUGUUGGAAUCUCCCUAGAGGACUUUUUUCUACUGCCAAAUGCUGCCAACAUAGAUGCAAGAUGGCUAAUG